rnacentral:rRNA from 1 species
ACGCUGGCGGGUGCUUAACACAUGCAAGUCGAACGAGAAAGCACUUCGGUGCGAGUACAGUGGCGAACGGGUGAGUAACACGUGGGCAACCUGCCCUGGAGAGCGGGACAACCCGAGGAAACUCGGGCUAAUACCGCAUGAUGCGUCCUGGCGUAAGUCAGGCCGCCAAAUGGUAGCUCUUCGGAGCCUCCGCUCUGGGAUGGGCCCGCGCCGGAUUAGCUAGUUGGUUGGGGUAAUGGCCCACCAAGGCGACGAUCCGUAGCUGGUCUGAGAGGACGAUCAGCCACACUGGGACUGAGACACGGCCCAGACUCCUACGGGAGGCAGCAGUGGGGAAUCUUGCGCAAUGGGCGAAAGCCUGACGCAGCAACGCCGCGUGAGGGAAGAAGGCCUUCGGGUUGUAAACCUCUUUCAGGAGGGACGAAGCUUCCGGGGUUAAUAGCCUACGGGGUGACGGUACCUCCAGAAGAAGCCCCGGCUAACUACGUGCCAGCAGCCGCGGUAAUACGUAGGGGGCAAGCGUUGUCCGGAAUCAUUGGGCGUAAAGCGCGUGUAGGCGGCUUGGUAAGUCUGGCGUGAAAUCUUGGGGCUCAACCCCAAGCCUGCGCUGGAUACUGCCUCGCUCGAGUCCGGGAGAGGAAAGCGGAAUUCCCAGUGUAGCGGUGAAAUGCGCAGAUAUUGGGAAGAACACCGAUGGCGAAGGCAGCUCUCUGGAACGGUACUGACGC